AAGGGACAGUGUGCUGCGCGCGGUUCUUGCUUACAAGCGUUAACCCCAAAAGCGACCAGUGCAGGCCGUUCUUCUCUUGCACUUUCUAAAAUCUGAAGUAUAAAUAUACGCUACAGGAAAGUGCCUAGGGUACCCCUCGAAUGCUCGCAUCCGAGCUGCCCUGCAGCGACGCCCCCAGGGAGGAGCGGAGCGCCCAUCCGGGAAUCUAGGGCGGACGAGGCCCUAACGUUUCUCUUAGGAGCGCACCUCCCCUGUUGAUGGGAGCGGCAGCGGACGCGUUCGGGGCAUCCGGCCCCGCCGGGGCCGUGCUCUCCGCCGAGUGGCUGCAGUAAUGCCCUGGACACCUCAGUAAACAGGGAUCCUUACCUUCCUACUUUGAAGCGAGGACCCUGAGCUCCGAAAGGAGCUCCGCCCACCAGCUCUCCCGCAGGACCGGCUGCCUGGUUGGUGGUCUUCCCGCCCCUCCAGCAGAGAACCCGCACCUGCUUCCCUCCUGAGCCCCCAACACGGAGAGCCAAUACGAAUAGUCACUGCAUGCAGGCUGCUCCGCUGUCUGUAAAGUGAUGUCACAGACAGGUAUCAUCACCUCCAGUUACAAAUGUGGAAGGGGAGGACCAAAGAGGAAGGCGUAAGGAGCCCCUGGAACCGCCGUUCUGGCCCUAUGUCCUGCGCGUUAUCACCCCGCUGCCCCGCUUCUGCUCCCCACGUGGGGCUUCUUAGAGUCGGAGGUGGUCAUGGCCACCUCCCCCCCAACCCAGGCCCUGGGUAGAAUAACAUGCAGUCUCCUAAUUCCAAUUAAAAACGGGAACUCUGACACAGGAAACUCUGCAAAGGAAAGGACAGAACACUGGAAAUGCCCGGAUAAGUAAGGUGCGUGGUUGUCGCAGACACAGGAGCCAAAGACUGACAGCGGGUCCGAAGCCACCCUCUCGAGGAUACAAGGGCGGCAAAGUCCCGGUCUGGCCCCAGCAUGGUGCGGUGUGGAUCUCUGUGCCCAGGAGACCUACUCACUGUGGGCCUGGUGCUCCGGAGCCUGAGGCAGUGACUAUGAAGGUCACCAAACCAGGAAGAAAAACGCGCAUCUGCACCCACCUGCCGCCCCGGUUCUGCCUCGCAAUGGGCCUUUUCAAACCUCUCUGAGGCACAGUCAGAACUUCUGAAACCCAGCCCUGGUUUAAGACUCAGAGCUGGCUUCCCAUUGCCCGCGGUCCAAAUCCCAACUUUGCCAGCUGAGUUUACGGGACCAGCCUUACCCUCUAGCCUAGCACCACCCCCAACCUGCGCACCCCAGGUCCCAGCCGCAAAUGAAAAGUACUUCCAGAGCUCCAGCCCUCCAGGUGGAGCAGGAGCUCCUGACCCAGAACUCAGAACUCAACCAGGCUCAGAAAAAUCACAGAUGGAAGAGAGAAUAAAAACUACAGAGAAAAGAAAAACAUGUUGGAGAUUUUUUUAAAAACAUCAACUGCGUUUUGGCCAAGGGGAGCUAAUUGGUAAACGAAACUGUUUCCGUGAACGAUUUUUAUAAGCACAUUUCCCGAGGCUGUUCCAUCAACCAGACAACGUGAGCCACCCUGGGCACCCUCCCUGCUCAACCAGGUCCCUCCUCCGGGCUCUCCUCUGUAGGGCACCCCUCCCCCAGCCCAGCCGACAGUCCUUCUUCCUCUGAUCCCCAAACUCUGUCUUCCUGGCUCCAUUUUCCUGGCCUGCAUCUUCUCCCUGUGUCUCCUGGUUGAGCUGGGUUGGGGUCCUCAUCACAGUGCUCUUGGCAGGCGGCCGGGGAGGAGAAGAGGAAGAGGUGCACCUCCGCGUUCAGUUGUCCAGUAAGUUUGUUAUUCACGACCAGCCUGCGAAGUGGUGCCUUUCUUCCUUUUCGUAAUGAAGAAACAGAGGCUGGGAGAGGUUGAGAAGCCACAGGCAGUAGGCACGACUGUGGAAGUCAGUACUGGCUCAAGGCAGAGGCCUGCACUCCCAACCACCGGAUUACAUGAACUUGAAGCUUUCGAAAAGCCAUACUUACUCACCCGAUGAUAAGUAUUUCGUCAGAGACAGUGGACCGUCAAACUCAAGAGGGCAUGCCAGGAGGCGGCAGAGGAACAGCCCACGUGGCAGAAACGCUGCGGUGCUCCCCACAGUGGGCAGCAGCUGGGUGGAGAGCACUGGCCCUUUAAUGGCCGAGCCCACAGCUUUGGAUUCCGAUGGCAGUUGAUGAGGGUCUUGGAAGACGAGGGAGGGACACAGGGGAUGCCUAGCACCCAGGGCUGCCGGGAGCUGCUCACCAGAUCUCCAGACUGGACAGCCCCCUCUACUGGACCACCAUUCCAGGGGCUGCUGACACUGCCCGAACACCCCGAGGCUCCCACCAGCCCAGGCUCUGCUCUCCCUUCCCCACGUCUCCUCACGGACAGUGGGCCCUCAGCUAACCCGACUCAGGUGGCCGCUCUCAGCCCCGGUGUCCAGAGAGCUAUUUCUGGUCCUACCUUUGCCACCAUCCCUGUCUGUCUUCCCUGGCCUCAGCUUCCCAGGUGCGGGAAAGCAGGUUAGACAGGAAGAACGCGUCAGCUCUUGUCAUCGGCUGCGGGAUUCUCCGAAUUUGAAUCUUCUCCUCCCAUGGCCUCUGCCCAGUGCGGAUCCCUCCCCCAUGGACCUGACCCUGUCCCUUCGCUUCCUUCCCCCCACCCGCC